AGGGGAAGGAGGGACAUGGAGAGGGUGAGGGAUAGGAGGAGUGGACGAAUGGAAGGAGUCAAUGGUGCUGGCACCAGUACCAGCGGAUGAAAAGCGAAUGGAGCCAGUCAAGGGAUCCUCCCCUUCCCCAUCAUUUCCCUGGAUGCUGUCCUCACCUCCUCAUUCCUCUGAUCUCUCAUCCUCUCUCUGCCCCUGCCAGCAUGGACCAUCACCUCCUUCCUUGUGCAGACACCUCUUUUCUCUCUGCUUGUCUAGCCUUUGCCUAUUCAUAUCCCUGCUCUCUGUCAGAAGAGGGGCCCUCACCCUCAUGCCUGACCUUCUGCUCUGUGUGCUGGCUGGCUGUCCCCCAGGCUCCUGACCCUGUGCUCUCCAUCUCCCUGGCCUCUGACCCUGUGCUCUCCAUCUCCCUGGCCUCUGGCCCUGUGCUCUCCAUCUCCCUGGCCUCUGACCCUGUGCUCUCCAUCUCCCUGGCCUCUGGCCCUGUGCUCUCCAUCUCCCUGGCCUCUGGCCCUGUGCUCUCCAUCUCCCUGGCCUCUGGCCCUGUGCUCUCCAUCUCCCUGGCCUCUGGCCCUGUGCUCUCCAUCUCCCUGGCCUCUGGCCCUGUGCUCUCCAUCUCCCUGGCCUCUGACCCUGUGCUCUCCAUCUCCCUGGCCUCUGGCCCUGUGCUCUCCAUCUCCCUGGCCUCUGACCCUGUGCUCUCCAUCUCCCUGGCCUCUGACCCUGUGCUCUCCAUCUCCCUGGCCUCUGGCCCUGUGCUCUCCAUCUCCCUGGCCUCUGGCCCUGUGCUCUCCAUCUCCCUGGCCUCUGGCCCUGUGCUCUCCAUCUCCCUGGCCUCUGACCCUGUGCUCUCCAUCUCCCUGGCCUCUGACCCUGUGCUCUCCAUCUCCCUGGCCUCUGGCCCUGUGCUCUCCAUCUCCCUGGCCUCUGGCCCUGUGCUCUCCAUCUCCCUGGCCUCUGGCCCUGUGCUCUCCAUCUCCCUGGCCUCUGGCCCUGUGCUCUCCAUCUCCCUGGCCUCUGACCCUGUGCUCUCCAUCUCCCUGGCCUCUGGCCCUGUGCUCUCCAUCUCCCUGGCCUCUGGCCCUGUGCUCUCCAUCUCCCUGGCCUCUGGCCCUGUGCUCUCCAUCUCCCUGGCCUCUGGCCCUGUGCUCUCCAUCUCCCUGGCCUCUGGCCCUGUGCUCUCCAUCUCCCUGGCCUCUGGCCCUGUGCUCUCCAUCUCCCUGGCCUCUGAUCCUCCGUUCUGUGUGUCUGUCCCCCGGGCCUCUGAAUCUCAGCUCUCUGUCCCCUGAUCUCUGCCUGUCCACCUUCCCAAUGCUGUCCUUUAGCCUCUGCCUUUCAAGCCCUUCGGUCUCCGCCACUCCUCCCUCCUUCCCCUUGACAGCCCGGGCACAUUUCCCAGCCUUCCGACUCCCUCCUCCCCACUGUGCAGCGGGGGACGGUAAUCUGAGAUCUGGAGAGAUCUGUCCUGAGCUAAACUCGGUGCUGGGCUCUAUCAGUCCCUGGGGCUCUAUCUAUGGGCUGGGCUCCCAUUUCCCAGGAAAGCUCUCUGCUCGGUGCCCUCAGCGGUGCUCUUGCUCUCCUAACGGCCCCCUCCUUUCUCUCUCCCUUCAGUCACAGUGCCCACGGGGUUAACAGGCAAUUAGUGGGGCCAGGGCUCAGAGCUUUGGUGGGGAGAGGGGGCCGAGCCUCCGGGAGAUAAGAGGCAGCCGGGGAGCUGCUGAGACUGGGCUAAUCCCAGAGCUAAUCUUCUGGCCGGGCUUUAUCACAGCUG
ensembl:lncRNA